GAUGAAGAACGUAGCGAAAUGCGAUAACUAAUGUGAAUUGCAGAAUUCCGUGAAUCAUCGAGUCUUUGAACGCACAUUGCGCCCCCUGGUAUUCCGGGGGGCAUGCCUGUCCGAGCGUCAUUGCUGCCCAUCAAGCACGGCUUGCGUGUUGGGUCCCGUCCCCCUCUCCCGGGGGACGGACCCGAAAGGCAGCGGCGGCACCGCGUCCGGUCCUCGAGCGUAUGGGGCUUUGUCACCCGCUCUUGUAGGCCCGGCCGGUGCUUGCCGACACCCAACCAUUUUUUUCAGGUUGACCUCGGAUCAGGUAGGGAUACCCGCUGAACUUAAGCAUAUCAAUAAGCGGAGGA
rnacentral:misc_RNA from 1 species